rnacentral:rRNA from 1 species
ACUCCUACGGGAGGCAGCAGUGGGGAAUAUUGCACAAUGGGGAAACCCUGAUGCAGCCAUGCCGCGUGUGUGAAGAAGGCCUUCGGUUGUAAAGCACUUUCAGUAGGGAGGAAGGUAGUGUAGUUAACACCUGCACUAUUUGACGUUACCUACAGAAGAAGCACCGGCUAACUCCGUGCCAGCAGCCGCGGUAAUACGGAGGGGUGCGAGCGUUAAUCGGAAUUACUGGGCGUAAAGCGCAUGCAGGCGGCCUGUUAAGUCAGAUGUGAAAGCCCGGGGGCUUAACCUCGGAAUUGCAUUUGAAACUGGCAGGCUAGAGUCUUGUAGAGGGGGUAGAAGUUUCAGGUGUAGCGGUGAAAUGCGUAGAGAUCUGAAGGAAUACCAGUGCGAAGGCGGCCCCCUGGACAAAGACUAGACGCUCAGAUGCGAAAGCGUGGGGAGCGAAACAGGAUUAGAUACGCUGGUAGCCAGAGAG